UUCAACGUCAUCACAUUGAUUUCUUUGGGUUCAAAUGAUGUGGAAACAACAUUGAAUCAACCAGUUUUUUCCCAGUGGGAUAUAGGCUACUGUAUGUGUAGGCCUACGGAUGUUAAUUUGGUUCACUAUGAGUUUGGUUCAAUGGAGUAUUAUUUUAUUUUUUUCAUAAUUCCAUCCAUGGGUGUCAGACUACGUGCCAGUGAGAAGGAGGUGGAGCUGAAGACUGAAAAUUCAGCCCUGGAGGCCAGCGUGACAGCCAGUGAGAGUGGCAACACAGCAUUGGAGGCCAGACUGAGUGUCAGUGAGAGGGAGGUGGAUGAGCUGAAGAGAGAGAAGGCAGGUAAAACCAAUACAGAAAAGGAGUGUUGUUUUCCGGUCAAAAGUGCUGCACUUGUUUGUAACCUGAGAAGGUGUUUGGGUGACUGUUGGUGAAGGUUUUUGUUUUAGCUUCUUGGCAGAAUGUUUGCUUUCAUGGGCUUUAUUCAUCUUUCAAUAAUCAGUGUCAAUACUGAAACCACACUUCUACAGCAAAGUCUUCACCAACAUCUGCAAAGCCUACAACCCAACUACAGGUAGACUUAUAACCACACAAAUCAACACACACUGAAUCCAGCUAUAGUCCAGCAUUACCAGCAGUGUCUCUAGCCCUGUUUAUACCUGCCGUUAACAUGCGUCCUGAUCUUGGCCAGAUCUUGUCUGUUUACACUUAAGAUCUGAUCACAUCACAACAAAUCUUUUAAUCGCCUACAGGUUUAAAACUGUGGGCACAAUGAGAAUGUGGACAGCAUCAGGACAAAGGCUGCAUGUUUGAACCAGGUAUAAACAGGUCUUCUGAGACUGACAGUGCUGAUCCCUCCCUCUCCUAUGACGCAGGUAUCUUCACAGCACCAGUGAGAGGAGUCUACUACAUCAGAUUCACUGCAAUGGAUUACCUCACAUCGCCGUUCAUGGGUCUAUAUAUUUUUAACACAAUGACGAGAGUUCUGUUAAAAGACCUAUAUGGUACCCAUGGAGAUUGUAGGUACAUGUGCAAUGCAUUGACUCUAGAGGUGGAAGAGGGUUAAUGUGAUCUACAUUGUCUCCCCUCAGGCAGGAGGCUCUUUGAUCAUUCUAAUAACUACAACACCUGCAGUGGCUUCCUGCUCUUCCCUAUGUGAAGGAAGCACCAUAAAUGAUGUAAUGACCUCUGCUUUCUGAUGUGAACAGUUCUGAUUAAUCAAUAAAUAGCACCAUAAAAAAAAAGCCAGACAAUUAUUUGGUUUACAAUUUUUUUUAAACAUUUGUAAUUUAGCAGACGCUCUUAUCCAGAGCGACUUACAGGAGCAAUUAGGGUUACGUGCCUUGCUCAUGGGCACAUCGGCAGAUUUGAAGCUCUAGGCUUCAAACCAGCGACCAUUCUAUUACUGCCACAAUUCUCAUAACCGCUAGGCUACCUGCCACCCUCAGUCAUUCACAGUUUACCAUCAUUGACGUAAAGUGUCUCCAUCACAGGAGGUUGGUGGAACCUUAAUUGGGGAGGAUGGGCUCGUGGUAAUGGCUGGAGCGGAAUCAAUGGAAU